rnacentral:rRNA from 1 species
AGUUUGAUCCUGGCUCAGAGCGAACGUUAGCGGCGGGCUUAACACAUGCAAGUCGAGCGAGAAAGGGCUUCGGCCCUGAGUACAGCGGCGGACGGGUGAAUAACACGUAGGUAACCUUCCUUCCAGCGGGGGACAACGGUCCGAAAGGACCGCUAAUACCGCAUACGUUCCCUGGGACCCUGGUCCCGGGGAGGAAAGCUCCGCAAGGGGCACUGGAUGAGGGGCCUGCGUAGCAUCAGCUAGUUGGUGGGGUAAUGGCCUACCAAGGCUAAGACGCUUAGCUGGUCUGAGAGGAUGAUCAGCCACACUGGGACUGAGACACGGCCCAGACUCCUACGGGAGGCAGCAGUGGGGAAUAUUGGACAAUGGGCGCAAGCCUGAUCCAGCCACGCCGCGUGAGUGAUGAAGGCCUUCGGGUCGUAAAGCUCUGUGGGGAGGGACGAAUGGCGCCGUGAAGAGCGGCGAGUGACGGUACCUCCUUAGCAAGCACCGGCUAACUUCGUG